CACGUAGGGGGCAAGCGUUGUCCGGAAUCAUUGGGCGUAAAGAGCGUGUAGGCGGCCAGAUAAGUCCGCUGUGAAAUCUCGAGGCUCAACUUCGAGCUGUCGGUGGAAACUGUCUGGCUAGAGUCCGGAAGAGGAGAAUGGAAUUCCUGGUGUAGCGGUGAAAUGCGCAGAUAUCAGGAAGAACACCCGUGGCGAAGGCGGUUCUCUGGGACGGUACUGACGCUGAGACGCGAAAGCGUGGGGAGCAAACAGG
rnacentral:rRNA from 1 species